GCCUCCAGUACUUUUUACUCUUACUCAAGUCGUUUUUUUGUUAAUUACUUCUACUUUUACUCGAGUACAAAUUCAAAGUAAUGUAGGCACCACUGAAAGUCUAUUUACCUUAUCGACCAUAAAAAGUUCCUUCGUGCCACUCAUGAGACAGUUGAUGUUAUCAAUAGCAUCAUAAUGGAGCACAGAUUUUGUACCGCCAUUACUGAACCACAUGACGCUGUCCUGAAGUUCAUCGGUAAAUCCACCACAUAACAAACAUUUUAACAAGUAAAUAUCAUCU
rnacentral:lncRNA from 1 species